GUGAGCUGAGAUUGUGCCACUGCACUCCAGCCUGGGCAACAGAGAUUUUUGUCUCAAAUAAAUAAAUAAAUAAAUAAAUAAAUAAAAGGCAAAGCAAAAGAAAAUGAAUUUAACUUUGAGCCAGGAGAUAUUUAAUACAAGAAGAAAAUUCCUAGGGCUGGAAAUUAUCUGAUGGAAGAGGAUACUGAGACCAUAGACAAGGGGGCCUAGACUCCCAUAAUGGAUUUGGGUUGGAAUUCACUCACUAACUAUGUGACCCUGACAACUUACCCUCUUUUUAGUGUCCAGUGCUAAAAUGGAGACAAUAUUAUCUACUUCAUCAUUUUGAUUUGUGAAAUCAGCCUGCACUCAGCAUUUAGUAAUUUUGUCUUGCAUUUUAAUUGGAAAUGCCCUGGUACAGGAUAAAGAGCAUGGAUUUUGGAAUCUGGCAGUCUUGAGUCAGGAUUCCAUAUCUGCCACAACAGAGUUACCUUCAGAGAGAGAUUAUUGCACCUUGGUUUUCUGUAAACAGGAGAUAGGCCACCUAUAACACAUCUGUUUUGAAUAUUAAAUGAGAUAGCCAUUAAUAGAUUAAUGUAUAAAGUGUCUGAAAUGUAUUAGCACUUAACAAACAUUAAUGCUCUCUCUUCCAUCUAAUCACAUGCACACAUGCCCACGCACACACACACACACAUACACACACACACAAGUGGCUUUAAUCAGUAACAGAAAGUGAAAUGUUGAUGAAUCCUAGUUUUUUUUAAUUGCAAAGUGUGUGAAAGCCAAGCAUACUUGCAGAAACUGGAGAUUGUUUUUAUUUACUCAGAGACAAUACUGACUUUAAAGAAAACAAAAUAUCUAAACUAACAAUGGAAGCAUAAACAUCGCCCUCAAUGAUGGUCAUUGUGGUGUCCCUGUCUUCAGACAGUGGCCACCUCUGUGCUUUAACCUGGACCAAAGCCUCUGAAUUCUGCCGCCCUUAAUGGUGACAGGCACCUGCAGGAUAGCCUAAGUCCCCAACACCAGCAUGGCCUCCAGGUUUUGGCGACAAGAUUCCUCUCAUCAGCAUGUCUGCAACGCUCCUUUCUCUUAGGAGAUAUGUUGACUCAUUAUACCUAUUUUUAAUAAAAAGGCAAAUUUAAGCCUUAAUUUGUAUUUUAAAAUAAAUUAUUUUAAGGCAUGGACCCACUAGGGAAUUAGUUACAAAUGGUUUUUAGUGGUACACAUUUAAUGAACAUUUAACCAAAGAAAGAAAAUUGCUGGUAUGCAUAAUUUCUUUUUUUUAACCAGCUGAGUAUAUAAAUCCAAUCUGUCCUUUCUCUUUAACUACUUUUGCCAUAAAACCACUUAUUUUACGGCUGUGGUGACAUAGCACGGCUGUUUCACUUUAUGAUUAAUAAAGUAAUUAGCACCAGUUCUAAUAUUCUUAGCAAAAAGGCUGGGCUUUAGAUAUUUCUGUUGCACUAAUAGGUUUUCUAAAGCUACGUGGCGCACAUGGAAGAUGGCCUGCUGGGGCCUGCAGAAUGCAUUUUCUAAUGUACAUCGUCAAGAUCAAUUGAUAAAUUACGUCAGUCUGGGUUAGUCAUCAUACAGAAAAUAUCAUUAGAGAUGAAAAAGGAAUGAAAGGAUGUGGGCAGGGGUAAUUUGGUUUUCAUUGUUGAUUUCUGUUAUAGAACUAUUCUUGUAGGCAAUUACCAAAACACAAAAUGCCAGGGAAAAUAAAAAACUCUGGAAAAGAAGAGCCUAUUAGAACAAGAUAUGUGGUAAACAGACAAGAAUGAUAGCUCUUUUGAAACAGUAUCCCAUGGAGUCCAACUGGGGAGCAUAUUUCUGACUCUGCACACAGUGUCUUUGGGGCCACGCCAAAUGCAGAACUGGAUCAUGAGCUCCGUUACGUCCUUCCUUCUGAAAUGUGUUUUCUUAGUGUGUCUUUGAGGACAAUGCAGGGGUGCAGGUCACAGCAAAGGUGUGCUGGGAAGAGAGCCACCGUGGUCCGAGGAAUUGCAGUGUUGAUUCCUCUUGGAAACGUGAGGAUGCUGAGCUCAUUCACAAGGGAAACUCUGGGCCCUUUGUAGUUGCAAAACUAAAAAUAAAAAAUUGCAUUUAUGCAUGGACAUUGCUGAAAAACAAAUCCCCUCUGUUUUCAGGGCUUGCUUUGGAAAUCUAUUGAAGCAAUUUGAUUCCUGGGACAGGAUAUAAAUUUUCUUACCAGCCUUACAAUCGUUGACCUCAUUGCCCUUUCAUAAUUCAUUCAUUCAUUCAAUAAGCAUUUACGCUAUGUCAGGCCUGGGCUUGGCCUUGGGGAGACAACGAUCCUUGCUUAGGGAGCCCAUAGUGUCUCAUAAAUAAUAGUUUGGGCUCUGGAGUUAGACAAACGUGUAUCCAGGUGUCGCUACUUAUUGGCUAAGUGACUUUGGAUAUGUUACUCACACAAGCCAGAUCUCAAAUGAGGACAAUAAGUAUACCUACCUCAUAGGGUUGUUGUGAGGAUUAAAUGAGGUAAUGCUAGCUAAGGGGCUGCAGAGAAUAUCACGCAUUAUGUGUGUUCAAUUAAAUAGAAGCUAUCACUAGUAUUAAGAUCAUGCUGCUGAUUCAGGACUAUGCAGAGACACACUUUGAGCUGCUUCUCUGGUGCUAGAUAUGAAUUCAUAUAGAGUCAUCUGAGCUUUCUCCUUGACGUCUCCUUGGGAUCUAUUGUGCAUAUCUGCAAAUCGUUUUCUCUGAUCAGAGAAAAAUCAGCAAUUGGUAGAGAUUGAAUAAGAUGCCAAUACUGAUCAGCCCAGGACUCCAUCAAUCAAACUACCCAAUCCAAACAAACCCUGUUAGGGAUGCCGGAUGCUUCCUCUCUCUUUCCUCCUCCCACUCCUCUUUCCCUCUUCUUUCUUUCCUCUCCUCUCCCUUCUCAUUCUCACCUAUCACCUAAAUUCUCCUCACCCCCUCCUCUCUCCUCCCCACUGCCUGGUCAUGUGGCAUAACCUUAGAUUCUGCUAUAGUCUGAAUAUUUGCAUCCCACCAAAAUGCAUAGGUUAAAAGCCUAAUCCCCAAUGUGAUGACACUGGGAGGCGGAGUCUUCCGGGGGAAUGAUCAGGUCAUGGAUGGAGCCCUCAUAAAUAGGAUUAGUGCCCUUAUAAAAGAAGCCUGAAAGAGAGCUCUUGCCCUUCUACCAUGUUGAGGACACAGCAAAAAGGUGCCAUCCAUGAACCAAAAAGUGGGCUUUCCCC
rnacentral:lncRNA from 1 species